rnacentral:miRNA from 1 species
AUAUUACCAUUAGCUCAUCUU